GUCCACACCGUAAACGUUGGGCGCUAGGUGUGGGACUCAUUCCACGAGUUCCGUGCCGCAGCUAACGCAUUAAGCGCCCCGCCUGGGGAGUACGGCCGCAAGGCUAAAACUCAAAGGAAUUGACGGGGCCCGCACAAGCGGCGGAGCAUGCGGAUUAAUUCGAUGCAACGCGAAGAACCUUACCUGGGUUUGACAUAUACGAGAACCCUUUAGAGAUAAAGGGCUCUUUGGACACUCGUAUACAGGUGGUGCAUGGCUGUCGU
rnacentral:rRNA from 1 species